rnacentral:misc_RNA from 1 species
AAAAAUUGAGGUAUUCAUACCUCUUUUUGUAUUUAAAACCUUACACUAUAAAACCUAAACAAUUUUAUGUAUGAAAAUGAA